CUUUUAGCGAAGCUGUGAAUUCCUAAUCUAACCAGUGAGUAAAGACGUUAAUACAUUAUGGCUGGAAGAAGCGAGAAAUACGCAUCACCAAAAAAUAUAGACAAAGAAAUGCUGCACACAUGUAGUGUGUGUAAAUCAAAAGUAGUGGAGGAG